AUGAGCAUCAGAACCGUCUCUAAG
rnacentral:siRNA from 1 species